GACGAACGCUGGCGGCGCGCCUAACACAUGCAAGUCGAACGAGCGAGAGAGAGCUUGCUUUCUCGAGCGAGUGGCGAACGGGUGAGUAACGCGUGAGGAACCUGCCUCAAAGAGGGGGACAACAGUUGGAAACGACUGCUAAUACCGCAUAAGCCCACAGGUCGGCAUCGACCAGAGGGAAAAGGAGCAAUCCGCUUUGAGAUGGCCUCGCGUCCGAUUAGCUAGUUGGUGAGGUAAUGGCCCACCAAGGCAACGAUCGGUAGCCGGACUGAGAGGUUGAACGGCCACAUUGGGACUGAGACACGGCCCAGACUCCUACGGGAGGCAGCGGUGGGGAAUAUUGCACAAUGGGGGAAACCCUGAUGCAGCGACGCCGCGUGGAGGAAGAAGGUCUUCGGAUUGUAAACUCCUGUUGUUGAGGAAGAUAAUGACGGUACUCAACAAGGAAGUGACG
rnacentral:rRNA from 1 species